rnacentral:rRNA from 1 species
CAAUAGCGUAUAUUAAAGUUGUUGCGGUUAAAAAGCUCGUAGUUGGAUUUCUGCUGAGGAUGACCGGUCCGCCCUCUGGGCAGGUAUCUGGCUCAGCCUUGGCAUCUUCCUGAAGAACGCAGCUGCACUUGACUGUGUGGUGCGGUAUUUAGGACAUUUACUUUGAGGAAAUUAGAGUGUUUCAAGCAAGCGCACGCCUUGAAUACAUUAGCAUGGAAUAAUAAGAUAGGACCUCGGUUCUAUUUUGUUGGUUUCUAGAACUGAGGUAAUGAUUGAUAGGGAUAGUUGGGGGCAUUCGUAUUUAACUGUCAGGGGUGAAAUUCUUGGAUUUGUUAAAGACGGACUACUGCGAAAGCAUUUGCCAAGGAUGUUUUCAUUGA